rnacentral:lncRNA from 1 species
UUUUUUUUGUUUGUUUGUUUUUACUAUUUCAUUGUGGUUGGGAGUGGGGGACCACUAACUGUCACUGCUUCGUGAUUUCAGCAGCGAUGGAUAGGACAAGAAAUCCCAGAAGAACCCCAGUGAUGGUUUUUACAGAGCAGUUUUAUAACAUUUACCAACCUCUUCACGUUUUAAUGUCUGUAUAAAAGUACCAUAAAAUCCCUUAUAAUAAAAAUUAUAUUAUAUUUACUAUAUUUAUUAAAAAUAGAUAAAUUAAUUGUUAGAACAAAAAAUUAAUUAAAAAUAUCUAUUUAUACUGCUAAAAAUUAAUGUGCAUAAUGGAAUUAUUAAAUAGUAACACAUUACAUGUCACAUAUACAUCACACUAACAUAAAAAAAACUCAUUCUUAACAGUAAAAAUCAAUAAAUUUAAAAAAAAAUAUAUUUUUUAAUCUAACAUAUAAAAAUUAAUUUAAUUUAUCUAUUUUUUAAAUAAAAACAACAAAAUAUAAUCUAACUCCCAUUAAAAUCAACUCUAAUACUUUUACCCCGCAAAAGAGGGUUCAAACUUUUUAAUCCCAUUAGUACUCCAGUCAUAAUCAUAAAGCCUCGUCUGUGUAUUACAUUAAUUUAGUCAUCAUCUUAAAAACUGGUCCACGUUGCUUCUUGCUUUUGAUAAUAACAAGCAGCCAUUAACAGCGUAAAAAUACAUAUGUUCAGUUUUUUUUUUCUCUCUGAAAAAGAUGGAAAAGUUAAUUGUACAAAUAGUAUUCAACACAAAAAUGGAAAACACUUGCAACAAUAGAAGAAAAAAGAAAACUGAAAGUUAAAAGUAAAACAGAAAGCAAACAUGCAGGGAUUAUUUAAAAGGGGGGAGAUGGGGAGAUUAGCAAGAAUGUGAAUCCAAGAACUCGGUUGCUCGAAGAUGAAUUUUACAUGCAUUUUAACAUUUUUAUAACCAAGUUCAAAAAUAACAAAGAGGAAAAGAAUCAUCAUGCCUUCAGGAGUGUUUCAAUGGCUUCGAAAAACAGUGGCGCCAUCUCUGGAUUUGGGGUCUUGAUCGCACACUUCACACCCGGGUUUCCAAUUAUUGUUGUAAGUUCAAUCAAGAAAGGUAUACCUCGAGGGAUCUUGGCUGAGAAGUAGAAUACAUCUUGAUUGGCAUGUUUGCGCUUCGCUAUAAAGAACAUGUUUGAUGCAGCUAGUCUAUCAAGGGUUGCUUCAGCACUGGUCACCACAAUGCCUGGGAAUUCUUUCAAGAUCUCAUUUGAAUCGGGUAGUGACCUCCAUGUCUGUAUAAUGGGAAGAAAUCAUUCCAUUUCCAUUGCUAGGAUCAUCCUUUUGUACCAUUAAAAAACCAAAGUACUACAGAACAAACUUCCUACCUCGAGAAAACUAGUUCGCUCCAUUCUCCCAUCCUCGGUAAAGAACACAUGCAACAAGAUUUUGUCAUUGAAGUACCAGACUGGUUGCUGACUAUUUUUAACAGCAACCUGCAGAAGAGUGUUUGGAGGACCAGUGGACAUAUUCUGGAACAAUACCAUGGGCAGCAUUGUUCCUGCUGAUGCUCCCGGUGCCAAUGGGGGAACCUAAUAGACAGUACCCAUUAAAUCCUAGAAAUGCAACAAGAAGCUAAAUAAAGCAUCAAUACUACGCAAGUUGUGAUUACCUGAAGAGGUCCAGCAGCUGCCAGACCGAAUGAAUUCUUGUUAAACUGAAUCAUAAAUCCAUCGAGUGUGAUCUGUGUGUUAUUCUCAAACAGUAAACUGUAAAAUAUUUGACCAUCCUGUCGAACUAAUUGUGCACUGAUUUGCAAACCCUGUCCACUUCCUGCUGGUAAUAAAAUAGGCAAAGGGGGGCUGCAAAUCAUCAAGGUAAAGAAUACAGUAAGGGCAACAUAUCAGCGUGUAUGUACUUAAGUACAAGCCUCAUGCAUGACUCCGAUUACACAAAAAACUGUAAAAUAUUUACAAAGUUCUUCUAGUGUUAAGCAACUUAAUUAUUAUUUAAAAUAUUUAUAACAUGUGCAGCAAAAUAUCCUGGUAACUAAAAUGAGACUUCUAUCUGCAAAACUAAUGCAUUCCAGCAUACUUACCCAGAAGAUGUGGCAGGCUGAUCAGCGGGGACAAUUUGAUUGUUAUCAAGGCCAAUCAGAUCACUUAGGAGGUCAGGCACUGCAGCAGGUGCAGGAGCAGCUGGGGCAGGAGCUGGCUGCCUAGCUGCAGCAUGUGGGACACUACUAGAACUGGGUGGUGAUGCACCACCAUUAGCAGCAUUGGAAAGUGUUUCAGAAUACCUAGUUUCAUUUCCAUCAGGGUAGUCAUCGUCUUCAGUUUUCUGUGUUGCAGUCUUUGCACGAGUUACAAAAGCAUCAGGAGGUUUGUGAUAGACAGAAGAAAGUGUAGCGAUAUUGGCAAGAAGCUCAUCAAGAAGGGUCGAAUCCAGUUGGUUUGAAUCAUCACUGAUCACAGGUUUCUCAGCUAACACAACAUCCUUAGCUGCCUGAGAGCAGAAAUAGGAAGUCAACUAUAUAAAACAUCCUGCAUGUGGUCUAGAUUCACCUUUAAAUAAAUAACAUUCAUGUCAGCAAUGACACCUGCAUUCAAACAAUGCUACAUCUAUUGUGACCUAUGAUACUGGGACUAGCUAGAUUCUGAUAGAAGACAAAUCAAAUUGGGACAGGAAAAACACACAAAUAAAAAGGCUCAUGCUAAUCAUACCAACAUGGUGAAAGGCAUUCUAAACCUCAGCUUAAUCAUAUAGUACAUGCCCAUUUUAAGAGUGGUCAUCAAAAUGGAGAUGAAGGUGAUUCAAGCAAAUACUUAGAUAGCCCUUCCCCUCCAAGGUAAGGAAGGACAUGAAAAUAAAAAAUGUCUCGGAAGUGAAAAAUGAUUCCUCAGAAAUUUGAAACUGAAUUCAUUGAAUGGUGCUCUGCAAUUGGUCGAAUAAAACCAUACCUCAGGAUCAGUUGAUAGAAGGCGCCAAUAAAUGUAGGCACGGUCCCGUAAAUCAGGAUUGUCAGUUUCCACAGUAGCAUUAUUCAAUACAACCUAUGGAUUGACCAAAAUAUUAGAAGUUAGAUAGGAAGUGAAAUUAUUUUCCAAAUAAAAAUUCAAAAAAAAAAAUUCCUUGAAUAAUCAACAAUCAGCAGUUAAUGUAACUUGUAUAACCGGAUAAUAAAAGCAAAUCAAAGUCAUAUGUUCAGUGGUUCUUAGUGGGAAAAGUAAGAUACUAAUUCUAUGCCUGAUUCCCCCAUGAAAUGAUACAGUUUGCAUUGCUCUAGACCUGCUUUCUUAUGGGGUAAUUGCAUAUAGAGAAAUCAGACAAUGGUUUUGGAGAAGUGUAAUGUGUAAUCACAGAUGAUAAAACUAUUAGUAAAAUCCUUGCACAUACAAAUGUGAUAAAGCCCAAAACAAAUAACAGAAACUAUGCAUGAAGAAUGCAUAUAUAAGACCUGAAUCAUCUGCUGUGGGCCUUCUGUUGGCUUCUUCAGAAAUAGUUUGACUGUUGCAGUUAGCAGCUGCAGUUGAACUUGGGGAGGUUCUUCAGGGAAACUCUCCAAGAAGCUUUCAAGGAGCUCGUCAGCAUUGUCAAUUCUUUCAGCAUAUUCUCCAAUUAUCCAUAUCAUUGAAGCCUUAUAAGAGAGGGCACAAGAAGAGGGGAAAAAAUGCGCUUAGAAAAAACAAUUAAGAGUAUUAACAGAAAACGGUGCUCUGAUUCGUUUUGCAAUUUCUAACAUGUACCUUAGCUUCUGGCUCAUCCAAAGUGUCCAAGCUCUCACAGAGGGUUGCAAUAAUAGAUUCAUAUCUGUGAAAGUUAUUAGGAAAUCAUCAGCUGGGAUUCAAGUUGCACACACAAGCAUUCAGCUACUGUUAAGAAAUAUAAUGACAGGGCUUUUUAUAUUUUGGAUAAUAUUGGAAUGCAAAGGAGUAAAUAAAUGAUACUUACGUGUUAGGAUAUCUUCUGAAGAUAUCUUUGAUAACUAUAAUAGCCUCUUGAACAACAUAGUUCACUUUAAUCUUGAUCAACUCAAGCAGAACACUGAUGCACCGUUCAGCUGCUCUCUCUAACUUGAUAGCACAACGACCGAUGGCACGAACAGCCUUUCUGACAAAAUCUACAUCUACUUCCGUUGCAUAUUCUUUGAACUCCAAUAAAACCUACAUAGACAUCAUCCAAAGGGACCAUCUCAAUAUGAUGGUAUACUAACAAUAUGGUUUUAAAUGCAGGAGAAAAUAAACUAUCAACCUAAAUAAGUCCAUAACUAAUUCUCUACAGACCAAAAUCUGGAUACCUGGUCUAUAUUUCGGUCGGAAGCAAGCUUUAUCAUGAUUUCUAACUUCUCCAUCUUCACAUAAAUUGGAUCAUUGUACUUGCAGAAGAAUACCUAGAAAGAAUAAGCAUUUGAUAAGCAUACAUUAAAGGCAACUACAUUGAUACAGAAGCAUACAAAUCAAGCUGUCAUGCAAAAGUGUGAAUAAUGAGUGUGGGCAAGCAUGCACAUGUUCUAUUCAUAUAAGUCCACCUUGAUUUCAUGGGCAAGAAUCGUAGGCCGUCUUUGUACUAUGAGGUUGAUAUUCCGCAAUGCAACAUAUUGUAUCUCGGGUUCAGCAGAGAGUAAGGUCACAAGAGGAGGAGCCAUCUUUUUGCAAAGAUUUCUAACAACAUCAGUGCUAGUGAUAAGUUCCAUUUGUUGAAGGAUCAUCUGGAAAGCACAAAAUUAUGGGGUGCUCAUAAGUCAACUAAUAGAAGACAAUACUGAUGCAAAAUUAUGAAUGGAAAUGAAGAGUCACCUUAACAGCUGAAAGUACAACAGCGCAAUUAGCAUGUUGAAGUCGUGGCGUAACUCUUUCCACAAUAUUUUCUGCUUCACGUGCAUCAGAUGCCUUGUAUCUGGAGAGAGCGUCAAGUAUAAAAACUUGACCCCACCUGACAUGGAACAUUUUCAAAAUGAGAUGGGUAGAACAAGUUUCCCAGGGAAAAUUCAACAAAAAUUAACAGAUGCUAGGUUAGUGACUUUGUUCAAGUUAUAAUGCCUGAAGAUUAAUAUAGCAGCAUAUUCAUCUCAAAAACCAUGCUAUUAUACCAACAUCCUAUUACUCACUUUAGAAAAAUAAAUCAUGAUGUCCCAAAAUGGAAAAUACAAAAUAUCAAAAUCCUAUUGAUCAGCUUUUUAUAGCAAUUAGGAAGAGAGCUCAACCACAUGGCAGUACCCUGAUUGUAUUUGUAGGUUUCAAACCUCUGAACUUACUCUGUGCAUUCAUUAAGAGCAGUAAGAAGCUUUGUAAGUGUGGGAGUAGUGAUUUCAAAUAUUGGUCCACUACUAUUCUCUUGUAUCUCAGCAAGAGCUGCCACAGCAUUAGCCACAACCAUUGGGUUAUUGUCAGAUAUCAAAUCCUUGAGAGAGUCCAGAAAACCCCUAUCCUCAACCAACUCAGCAUUUAUAUCAUAAAGUUUAGCAACACAUAUGGCAGCUGUCUUGCGAACAUAUGGAUCAUCAUCCUGUUAAUAUACAGUAAGAGAAUCAUAAUAACUUGAGUGACUUGCAUAAAGCAAGUCUAUGAUAUUGGAAAAAGGAAACCAAAAGCAUUGCUAAAAGUUUAUACUAUAUGCUAUAACAGGAAUCAACCUUUAGGCACCUCUGAAGAGGAUCACAAAGAUAUUCUGUGAUCUUAUCAACACGGAUGCAUCCCAUAGUCCGAACAGCCAAAGCACGAAUUAGAGGAUUUGGAUCCUGUGAAUCCUGGAUACAUACUCAUAAAGCAAAAGCUCAUUAGAGAUUUAUAAAGCAUUAUUACAGAAACCUUAACACAAACAUUACUCCAAACAGAACAUAUCAUGUAAUCCUAAUACUCUAUAAUCCUUGAUACCCUUUGAGGCAGAUGGAAAGACAAUGGGUUGGUCAGAAGUGCCACUUCUUCGACAUUUUCUUUUCCUUAAUACAGAUUCUAUCAACCAGAAACAUUUGUGCGACAAAUUUUGCAAAUGCACAAUGUGCUCAUAAAAGAAGAGACAUUCUUGCCCUAGUAUGCAAACCCAAACCAAAAGAAAAACAUUUAACACAAAUAAUUUACAAUCACUUUCAAGCUCUGGGGAAUCCAUAACUACCAUUCCUGAGAUAUUUAGGCUGCUCGUAAAAGAAGAGACAUUCUUGCCCCAGUAUGCAAAUCCAAACCAAAAGAAAAACAAUUAACACAAAUAAUUUACAAUCACUUUCAAACUCUGGGGAAUCCAGAACUACCAUUCCUGAAAUAUUUAGGCUGAGAUAUGCAGCCUGAGCAUGAAAAAAAUGCCAGUAUCUUACUCAACUUAAAAUUUCAAAUUUAACAUGUUCAUAUCAGGCAAAUUCGAUAUCCAUGCCCUUUUUUUUUUGGGGGGGGGAGAGAGAAGAAAAAAUUAUCUUUUAAGCUAUGAUAAAUAGCAAAGACAAAGGGCAUAAUAAGUUGCGCACCUUUACAAAUGUAUUUACUGCAAGAAUAGCAAGGUCGGGCUGACUUUUGGCAUAAUUUAUGAGAUACAAAUAAACAAGCUUUUUCAGCUCCAAAUUCUCUGUUUGCAUGCAAUUCACCACAUCUGUGAACAGCGAUGACACAUCCUUCCCAACUGUCAUUGCGGCAAUAACCUUCUUUACGGCAUCUUUUCUUUUAUCCUUCAUAACAUGGAAAACAAAGACAUGAUUACAAUCCCAUAACCAUAAGCCACAAAAACAUAGAUGCUAAAAUAUCCAUUCAACUUCCAAUGGGUACGGUUUACGCUUCUUUCACAUGCUAAGAGCGCCAGUGUUAAAAAUUCUUAGAAAACUCGUAUAACUACAGCAAAAUCAAGAGAAUUUAAAAAAAAAUGCACUACAGUUAAAAUUCAGUUUCAAAUUAGAUAAACCUAACUGUUCUCGAUAGAAACUUUAUGAAAGGAGAAACAUAAUCCAAUACUCGAAUCGAGUAGCAUUAAUCCUAAUAAAGAAAACUGAAUAUCUCUUUCCAUUUCCAGCUUAUUUUCCAUUAUCUCUAAUCGAUCCAAAUAAGAACCUAAAGCUUAGCUAACAAAUACGUAAUUCAGCAGAUUGACGACUUCAACGAACAAAUCAAAAUGGAAAACCAAUAGAUCUAACAAAAAACAUGACAUCAAAAUGUAUCAAAUCGAAAACCUAGCAAAUUAAAACAAGCAGAUCAACAAAGAAAUCUGCAGGAAAAAAAUAACGAAGAUGGAUUAACAAGUAGGUUAGCUACCUUGUACUGAGAAUUGAGCUCUUCCUUGAGUUCAGGGAUUUCUCCCUUCUUCGUCGUUGAGAAGUACUUUGAAUCGUGACCGCUCAUUUCUCACUCUUCGAGACCUCCUCUUGGCGGUGUUGUAGAUUGGAGUCGACGAAGAAGAAAAAGUAAGAAGGAAACGAUGGCGAACAAACUGUGUGAAAGAUCAUAUAAACGAGACCAGAUCGAGGAUUGAAAAAAAAAAAAAGAAGAAGAAGAAAAAGGCUCGUUUUAAUCUGCUGUUGGGCCUAUUCUGGAAGCAUUGAGUCCAGUCCAGAUUAUAUUCGGACUUUGGUGACUAAGGGGAUAUGAUAUCAAACCCCAACAUAUUCAAUCUAGUACCGCGGAGCCAAGCUUGAAAACUAUCAAGCUCAAUUAAAUUUCUAUUUUUUAAGCUCGUGUUUGGUUUGAAAUAUAGUUGAAUUAAGUUUAUUUAUCAAAUUUUUAUUUUAACUUGAGUUCGAACUUAUUUGGAUGGUUAAGCAUAGGAUUAAUAAAAAAAUAUUAAAGGUAACAAUAUAAUUUGAUAAUAUAAAAAUAUGAAAAGUUCGAUAAAAUUCACAAGCCAUUCUAGUAGAAUAUUACUAAACUUGAAUUCAACUUGAUCGAUAAUUCAAAUUCGGUUCAAUAAUCAUCGAAUCGGGCCUGAAUUUUUUUAAGUCAAACUUGAGUAGCUUGCGAAUACCAGUAUCUCAUUUAUCCCUGAUUCAAGCUCUUAACAGUAAAUCUAGUUUGGUUAGUUUCGUUUCUUGAUUUUUUUUUAUUAUACUAAAUUUAAAGUUUUUCAUUCAUAUUCAUAAAAAAUUUAAGUAAAAAAUAAUCAAUAAUUCUUAUGUAUUAUUUAAAAAAAUAUUUUUUAUAAAUUUUUUAAUUUAUUUUACUAUUUAAAGUACAGAAUAUUUAUUUUGACAUGUCAAUUUUUAAUUACAAUUUGAAUAAAAGUAUAAAUUGAUUUGGGAUAGUGGUUUUCAAAUUUGUAUUCUAAAAACCUUAAACCCCAAACAUAUUCAGUUUUUUGACUUUAUUCUCAACCCUAACUAGAUUAAUUAGUUGACUCUAGAGUGGUUAGUUAUGCCAAUUACAACCAAAAUUUGAAAUUUGAUCCAAUCAAUGUAAUGAAGACAUGUUUUUAAUUUAAUUUGUAUUUGCCUGAAUUUAAAUUUGAUCAUAACUCAAAGUUGACUUAAACUUGAAACUAUUUAAACUCAAUAUUAUUUAAAUAUUAAAUGACUCAAACCCAAAAUAAUUAAAUCAUGAAAUGAUCUAAACUUGAAAAUUUAAAUGGCUAAAGUCCAAAAACAACUUGAAUUUGAAAGCAUAAAAGCCCAAACUAUUUAAAAAAUUUAAAAUUUGACCUUAUUCACGUGCACAAUUGAAAGAACUAACUUGAUAAGCUAAAGGUAGGGAUACGAAUAAGACACUAGUGCUCGCAAGUUAUUUGAGUUUGAUUAUAGAAAACCCGAUUUUGAUUCGAUAAUUAUUGAUAUGAGCUCAAUGUAUCGAUCAAAACUAUAAUACCCCUACCUGUAUUCAUUGCCGGAAUAGGUUACAAGGCAUUACCGGAGUUUACGAAUUAAUUUUUUUAAAAAAAAAAACUCAAUAUAAUCCCUUUACAGAUAUCUAACCUUCCCUGCAAUAUUGAGACCAAUCCACAUCAACCAAACCAAUUCAACAUAUUUUCAAGGUAAAUUCAUGCAUAUUUAUAAGAUAAUGUCAUCACAUACAUAAAACCAGGUUUGUUAACCAUACUAAUAGCUAACUUUACAUUCAUUUCACGUUAACAUUUACUUUGUUAGCUUAUACAUGCCAUUGAUUUCUAAAAUAAGUUUCUUUAUAUACCGAAAUCCUGAGGUUGAUAGUGUGAUGUGUCUCCGACCAAAUCCGACUUUCGAGCUCUUAACACUACAAAAUAGGGGAAAAGGAAACAGGGUAAGCACUUUGUACUUAGUAAGCUCAUGUAACAAGAAUUAUACUUACCUAAUAUUUUCAAUACAAUACAAUAAACAUUCCUAUAUCCAUUCAAUGCAUUAUUACCCUAACAUGCACAAACUCAACAUUCAAGUUAAUACAAUAAUUUCCAUGUACCUAUAAUAUAUAUACCAUGAUUGAUGAGCUCAUCAAUACCAUGAUUUCCAUUUCCUUGUUAUUUUUCCAUAUUUAUCCCGUUGAAUUUCUUGGAAUUUUCGAUGGGUUUUCAGAGGUACACUUUUAGGUACAUUUCUGGGUCCGUCAAUUCAUAUUCAUGUACACAAAUUUCCAUUUCAGAUAGCACACUCCCGCGAACCUCAUCCUUACAGCGGGAUUACCAGUCUAGGCUAAAUCCCCUGUAAUAUAAACUCAUAGAGUAUUGUCGGGAUUACCAGUCCAGGCUAAAUCCCCUGCAACGAUAAUUACUCUAAUGAGCUUCGAUCUGAAUUACCAAUCCAGGCUAAAUUCAGACCCUAAUUCGGAUUACUCGUUCGGGCUAAAUCCAUUUUCCACAUAUUCUUCGGGAGGGCUAUAUCAAGAUAGGAUCACCCUUCCAGGCUAGAUCCUUUUUACCGUCAAUUCCUUUUCAGAGAUCCAUCAAAUUUUCCUUUCAUUCAACCAGGAUUUCUUCCCCUUUUUAUCAAAUAUAUCAAUGUUUCAUCAAUUUUCAUACAAUGAACAUUCAAAUCAUAUUCACAUCAAUAACAUACAUUUCAAGUAUUUAAGAAUAUAAUUCAAGUUACAUGAACUUACCUUGAUACUUGUUUGUAAACAAAAAAUCUACUAAUCCCGAACUUUUUCCUUUCCUCGAUCUAGCUUCGUAUUUGAAUCUUCUGGAUCUAAAUAAAUAAAUUUAAUUAUCAAUUUAAUACAUUUCAUGUUCAUAUGCAACAUUCUCUAUAAUUCAACUAUUAUUUAUAGUUCAUUCAAAGCUGUCUACUUGAGUCAUAGUCACUAAAUUAUUUUUAUCUUGAGCUACAGAACUCCAAAUUAGGAUCUGAUAAUUUUAUCUGAAACUAGACUCACAUAUUUUCUGACCAUAAAAUUUUCAAAAUUUUUGGUUUAGCCAAUAAGUACAGUUUAUUUUUUAAAGUCACCCCUAUUCUGCUGUCCAACAGUUCUGACCCUUCUUCACUAAAAAUUUAAUUAUCUCUUCAUACAGAAUUUGGAUGAUGUUCCCAUUUAUUUCUCUUGAAGAUAGAUUCAUUCAGGAUUCUAAACAUAUAAAUUUAAGCUCAUAAUUAUUUUUAUUCAAUUUUUUAUGAUUUUUAAAAGUCAGAACAGGGGAACUCAAAUUCAUCCUGACCUUGUCUCACAAAAUUAAUUAUAUCUGAAAAUUUACAAAUCCAUUGCUUACACCGUUUAUUCUAUAAAAAAUUAGACUCAAUAAGAUUUAAUUACAUAUUUUUUUCAUCUUCUAAUUCGAUUCCUACAAUUUAUGGUGAUUUUUCAAAGUUAGUCUACUGCUGCUGUCCAAUAUUGUUUUAGUGCAAGCUGUUUAUUACCAUUUUUUCCCUAAGCUUUUAAUAAAUAACAAUUUCGUCCCUACUCAAUUAGCCUCUCAAUUGAGAUGAUUUUUCUCAAUUAACACUUUAUUCUAUCACUUUAAACUAGUUUACAACCUUUAAGAAUCAGAAUUUCAGCAAUAGACUUUAAUUCCAAACAUUUUUACAAUCAGGUCCUAAAAAUCAAUUUCUAUUGAAAUUACCUAAUAAAAUCAUCUCAUAAACAAAUUAAAGCUUUAAUUUCAUUCUAUUUCAUCAUAAACUUACAGAACUCAAUCAUGGUGACUUUCAAUUUCAUCCAUGAAAUCAACAACUAAUGAAUUUAAUAGUAGGACCUAGUUGCAAAAGUCUUAGAAACACAAAAAUUACAAGAAAAAGGCAAGGAUUAACUCACUUGGUGCAAAAAUUAUGAAAUACCAGCUUAGAGAACCCUCCUAUGGCGUUUUUAGCUGCUGGAAAUUGAAGAGAAAUGAAGAGAAAUCUAGAUAUUUCCUAUUUAGUCCUAGCUUUAUUUAGUUAAUUUUGCAAUAUUCCAAUUUUUCCUUUAAUUUAUCAAUUUUCCUGCUGAUUUCAUGCCCUUGCCGUCCAGUCCAAAUAAAUUUUAGGUCUAAUUGCCUUUUAAAUCUUCUCUCUGUAGAGGCCCAAAUUUACCCGGUCCAACAAAUUAAAAUCAAACCUAAAUCCUACCCAAUUCACAAACCCAAUUACAAAAUCAGACCCAAAACUAAGCCCAACUAAUAAAAACCCUAGCCCAAUACAACCUAAACUUAUUUUCAAAAAAAGACAAAACCCUAGCCACCUUGCCUCCCACAUGCACCUACUCCACCACCUUGCCUCCCACUUGCACUUAUAUCAUCAAAUGGAGAAGAGACAUAAAAUGAUAAAAAAAAUGUAUGUAAAAUGGCUAUAAAAGCCAUUCAAGACUAGAGUUUGAGGGGAGUUUUUUGGGAGAAAAGAGUUUGAGGAGAGAGUUUUUGGAGAGGCUAAGUUUUGGAGAGAUUAAUAAAAGAUCAAAGCAAAAGAGGUUUCUUUGUCUAUUCUCGUUUUAAGUUCUUUGUUUGCUUAUUGUUUUCCUUUCAAUUUUAUUUUGUUUUUUUAUAUGAAAGUAAAAAUAAAAGUAAGAAGCUUACCCAUAUUUUCAUUACCGAAAAAGAGUUUUUUUUGAGGUCCGGCCGCCGUGUACGGUGGCACCGACGGCGGCACCGACGGCGGCACCGACGACGGCCCGUGGGGGUCCGGUGACCGGAGUAAGGCCGGACUGAUGACUGUAUUUAGAAGAGAGGGGAAGAAUGUUAUUUUUAUUACUAUUAUUAUUAUUAUCAUUAUUACUAUUAUUUUUAAUUUUAAUUUUAUUUUUAUCUUUUUAUUAUUACUACCACUAUUUUUCUUAUUAACAUAUUAUCAUCAUUUUACUAUAUUAUUAUGCCCUUUUUUAUAUAUUUUUAUUAUUGUUAUUAACAUAUAUUAUUAUUAACAUAUUAUUUUUUUAUUAAUGUAUUAUUAUUAUUUGCAUUAUUAACUAUGUUAUUUUGUUAUCAUUUCUUUUGAUUGUCUAUGAUAGUCUUAAAAGUGGUCCAUCUUGUAGUUUUCGUGAAUUUUUUUUUUAGACAAAGAAACCUCUUUUGCUUUGAUCUUUUAUUAAUCUCUCCAAAACUUAGCCUCUCCAAAAACUCUUUCCUCAAACUCUUUUCUCCCAAAAAACUCCCCUCAAACUCUAGUCUUGAAUAGCUUUUAUAGCCAUUCUACAUACAUUUUUUUAUCAUUUUAUGUCUCUUCUCCAUUUGAUGGUGCAAGUGCAAGUGAGAGGCAAGGUGGCUAGGGUUUUGUCUUUUUUUGAAAAUAAGUUUAGGUUGUAUUGGGCUAGGGUUUUUAUUAUUUGAGCUUAGUUUUGGGUUUGAUUUUGUAAUUGAGUUUGUGAAUUGGGUAGGAUUUGGGUUUGAUUUUAAUUUGUUGGGCCAGGCAAAUUUGGCACUUUUUAAGUAUUUGCUCCAUUCUCGUUACACGAAAAUGAGCAAAGAGGGGCAGCUGUAGAAGCCUAAAUUUGUCCGGCCCAACAAAUUAAAAUCAAACCUAAAUCCGACCCAAUUCACAAACCCAAUUACAAAAUCAGACCCAAAACUAAGCCCAAAUAAUAAAAACCCUAGCCCAAUACAACCUAAACUUAUUUUCAAAAAAAGGCAAAACCCUAGCCACAUUGCCUCUGACUUGCACCUAUUCCACCACCUUGCCUCCCACUUGCACCUACUCCACCACCUUGCCUCCCACUUGCACUUAUACCAUCAAAUGGAGAAGUGACAUAAAAUGGUAAGAAAUGUAUGUAAAAUGGCUAUAAAAGCCAUUCAAGACUAGAGUUUGAGGGGAGUUUUUUGGGAGAAAAAAGUUUGAGGAGAGAGUUUUUGGAGAGGCUAAGUUUUGGAGAGAUUAAUAAAAGAUUAAAGCAAAAGAGGUUUCUUUGUCUAAAAAAAAAAAUUCACGAAAACUACAAGAUGGACCACUUUUAAGACUAUCAUAGACAAUCAAAAGAAAUGAUAACAAAAUAACAUAGUUAAUAAUGCAAAUAAUAAUACAUUAAUAAAAAAAAUAAUAUGUUAAUAAUAAUAUAUGUUAAUAACAAUAAUAAAAAUAUAUAAAAAAGGGCAUAGUAAUAUAGUAAAAUGAUGAUAAUAUGUUAAUAAGAAAAAUAGUGGUAGUAAUAAUAAAAAGAUAAAAAUAAAAAUAAAAAUAAUAGUAAUAAAAAUAACACUUUUCCCCUCUCUUCUAAAUUCGACCAUCGAUUCGGCCUUACUCCGAUCAUCGGACCCCCACGGGCUGCCGUCGGCGUCACCGUACACGGCGGCCGGACCUCAAAAAAAACUCUUUUUCUGUAAUGAAAAUAUGGGUAAGCUUCUUACUUUUAUUUUUACUUUCGCAUAAAAAAAUAAAAUAAAAUUGAAAGGAAAACAAUAAGCAAACAAAGAACUUAAAACGAGAAUAGAAAAAGAAACCUUUUUUUCUUUGAUAUUUGAUUAAUCUCUCCAAAACUUAGCCUCUCCAAAAACUCUCUCUUCAAACUCUUUUCUCCCAAAAAACUCCCCUCAAACUCUAGUAUUGAAUGGCUUUUAUAGCUAUUUUACAUACAUUUUUUUAUCAUUUUAUGUCUCUUCUCCAUUUGAUGGUGCAAGUGCAAGUGAGAGGCGAUGUGGUGGAGUAGGUGCAAGUGGGAGGCAAGGUGGUAGAGUAGGUGCAAGUGGGAGGCAAUGUGGCUAGGGUUUUGUCUUUUUUUGAAAAUAAGUUUAGGUUGUAUUGGGCUAGGGUUUUUAUUACUUGGGCUUAGUUUUGGGUCUGAUUUUGUAAUUGGGUUUGUGAUUGGGUAGAAUUUAGGUUUGAUUUUAAUUUGUUGGGCCGGGCAAAUUUGGGCCUCUACACUCUCAUUAGACUUUUAAGCUAUUUAAUCCUCCCAUCCACUUUUACACCUUUUACAAUUUAGUCAUUUUUAUUUAAUUAACUAGCCAAACAUUAAAAUUUCCUAACGAAAUUUUAAUACCACAUUAAUAACAUUUCAUAAAUAUUUAUAAAAUUAUUUUCGACUCAAUUUUACGAGAUAGAGGUCUCGAUACCUUGUUUUUACCCAAUUUCUUCAAUAAUUUCUUUUUCUAACUAACCACUAAAUCGGUAAAAUUUUUCUAUCAAUAUUUUUAUACGAUUUUUCUAUCAUAUCAAUUUUCAUGCAAAAAUAUUGAAAUAAAUUUCUCUUUAAAUCGAAUUUGUGUUUACGAAACCACUGUUCCGAUAACUUUAAAUUUUGGUUAUUACAACUCUCCCCCUUUAAGGAUUUUCGUCCUCGAAAAUCUUACCAGUAAAGAGAUUUGGGUAUUGUUUCCUCAUUGUCUCCUCUGGUUCCCAUGUUGCUUCCUCAAUCCCAUGCUUUUGCCAUAAUACUUUCACCAAAUUUAUCUUUUUAUUUCUAAGCUCUUUUGUCUUCCGUGCCAAUAUCUUGACCGGUUCUUCACUGUAAGUCAUAUCCGAUUGAAUCUCUACUUCUGUCGGAGAAAUAACAUGUGAAGGAUCCGAUCGGUACCGUCGUAACAUAGAUACAUGAAAAACAUUAUGGAUUCUAUCAAGUUCCGAUGGUAAUGCUAAUAGAUAAGCGACCGGUCUAAUUCUUUCUAUGUUUUCAUAUGGCCCGAUAAAUCUUGGACUCAGUUUACCCUUUCGACCGAAUCAGAGAACUUUCUUCCAAUGAGACACUUUCAGGAAUACCUUGUCACUGACUUGAAAUUCAAUCUCUUUUCGUUUAAGGUCGGCAUAUGAUUUUUGACGAUCGGAAGCUUCUUUUAGACUAUCUCGAAUAACCUUUACUUUUUCUUCUGUUUCCUGGAUCAAAUCAACCCCAUGCAUCUUCCUUUCAUUGAGCUCUGUCCAAUAUAAUGGUGUUCUACAUUUUCUACCACAUAAAGCUUCAUACGGAGCCAUUUUAAUACUAGACUGAUAACUGUUAUUGUAAGCAAAUUCAAUUAAAGGUAGAUAUCUCUCCUAAUUACUUUCAAAAGCUAGUAUACAACAUCGGAGCAUAUCUUCCAAUACUUGAAUUACACGCUCAGAUUGACCAUCUGUCUGAGGAUGAAAUGCAGUGCUGAAAUACAAUUGAGUACCCAAGGCUUCUUGCAAUUUGUCCCAGAAACGAGACGUAAAUCGAGGAUCUCUAUCUGAUAUAAUGGAGACAGGCACUCCAUGUAGCCUGACAAUCUCAGAUAUGUACAGUUCAGCUAGUUUAUCUAAAGAAUAAUCCAUACGUACCGAAAUAAAGUGAGCUGACUUUGUCAAUCAGUAACAAUCACCCAAAUAGCAUCUUUUUUCCUCGGAGACAAAGGUAACCCCAAUACCAAAUCCAUAGUGAUUCUUUCCCAUUUUCAUUCUGGUAUAAUAAUUGGCUGAAGUAACCCUGAAGGUACCUAAUGUUCAGAUUUAACUUGCUGACAUAUUAAACACCUUGAUACAAACUCAGAGAUAUCACAUUUCAUUCCUGACCACCAGUACAUUUUUUCAUAUUAUUUUAUAUUUUAUUACUCCCCGAAUGUACAGACAUAGUAUUACAGUGAGCCUCGCGUAGAAUCUUCUGUAUGAGCUCUGAAUUCUGAGGUACACAUAUCCUACCUCUGAAUAAUAAACAACAAUCAGAAUCAAUUUGAAAUUCAGAAUCAUUACCUGACUCACAUUGUGCCCGUUUAACCUGUAACUUCUCAUCAUUCUUCUGAGCUUCAAAUAUUUGCUGUAGAAAUGUUGGUUUAACUCUCAAUUCAGCUAGGAUUGAACCAUUAUCAGUCAAUGAUAACUGGGUAUUCAUAGCUCGUAAAGCAAACAAAGAUUUCCGGCUCAAAGCAUCAGCUACAACAUUUGCUUUACCCGGAUGGUAAUCAAUAAUCAAAUCAUAGUCCUUUAUUAGUUCAAGCCACCUGCGCUGUCUCAAAUUCAAAUCUUUCUGUAUCAUCAAAUAUUUUAAGCUUUUAUGAUCAGUAUAAAUAUGACAUUUCUCACCGUACAAUUAAUGCCGCCAUAUCCUCAGCGCAAAUACAAUAGCAGCUAAUUUAAGAUCAUGUACUAGGUAAUUUCUUUUAUGUGGUUUAAGUUGUCUUGAAGCAUAGGCUAUUACUUUACCUUCUUGCAUUAAGACACAACCUAAACCAUUUAAUAAGGCAUCACUAUAAAUAACAAAUUCCUUACCCGGUUAAGGCUGCACUAAUACAGGUGCUUUCGUUAGUAGAUCUUUCAAUCGGUUGAAACUUUGCUGACAUUCAUCAGUCCACUCGAACUUUACAUCUUUCUGCAAUAAUCGAGUCAUUAGAGAAGCUAUCAUAGAGAAUCCCUGUACAAAUCUCCGAUAAUAACCAGCUAAACCCAAGAAACUUCUAACUUCAGAUACAUUAUUUGGUGGAUUCCAAUUGAUAAUAGCUGAGAUUUUACUUGGAUCUACCCUGAUGCCUUCGGUAGAUACAAUGUGUCCAAGAAAACCCAUUUCUCGGAGCUAAAAUUCACAUUUACUGAAUUUAGCAUAUAACUGCUUCUCUUGCAAAAUUUGCAACACAAUUCUCAAAUGUUCUGCAUGUUCUUCUUCAUCCUAGUUCUGAAGGUUGUUUUUGGCACAUCUGACCUUUACCCGUAGCUGAUAAUAACCUCAUCGAAGAUCAAUCUUUAAAAACACUAUAGCACCUUUCAGUUGAUCAAAUAAAUCAUCAAUUCGGGGUAACGAGUAUUUAUUUUUUAUGGUUACUUUAUUAAACUGCCGGUAGUCGAUCACAAUUUCAAAGACCCGCCCUUCUUUUUCAUAAACAUAACCGGAGCACCCCAAGGUGAAUGACUCGAUCAAACAAAACCCCUGUCAACAAGAUCUUGCAACUGUGUCUUUAACUCCUUUAAUUCUGUAGGAGCCAUCCGGUACGGAGCUAUGGAGAUCGGAGUAGUUCCCGGAAUCAAACCUAUAGAAAAUUUUACUUCUCUUUCUGGUGGCAAUCCUAGUAAUUCUUCUGGAAACACAUCGAAAAAUUCACAUACCACUGGAACUGCAUGUAUCUUUGACUCAAAUACCUUGGUGUCAAGUACAUAAGCCAAGUAAGUAUCAUACCCUUUUUUGACAUACCUUUGUGCUGCCAUUACUGAAAUCACAUCAGAUAACCCCUCUGUCUGAUUAGAUUUAACCCGGAGCAACUCACCAUUCUGACAUUUUAGCACAAUAUAUUUCUGUCUACAAUUUACUACUGCAUCAUGCUGGGUUAACCAAUCCACGCCCAAUAUCACGUCAAAUUCAUCAAAUGGCAGUAACAUCAAAUCAACCGGGAAACAAUAACCUCUUACCAUCAGUGGACAAUUUUUAAAAAUUUAUCCACCAAAACAGAUUGACCUAGGGGGUUCCAGACUUUAACCACAAAUUCAGUAGGUUCAACAGAUAAAUUUUUAACAAUUGCUAGUUUAACACAUAUAUAUGAAUGCAUAGACCUAGGAUCAGUCAAUGCAGUAAUAUCAGUAUCAAGUAAAGAAAAUGUACUAGUAAUAACAUCGGGUGCUGAGGCAUCUUCUCUGGCACGGAUGGCGUAUGUCCUAGCAGGUGCUUGUGCCUCAGGCCUACCUGCAGUAUCUUUUGUAGCUCCUCGACUACCAUUGACAUUACCCGAUGGUCGAGGUGGUCUGCCCCUCGAAAUUGGAUUACUCGGCUUCAAUAUCUGUUCAGCUUCUUUUUUCACUCUUUUCUGGACAAUCUCUGAGGAAAUGGUCAAAAGAACCACAUCGGUAACAAGCCCCACUCUUUAAUCGACAUUCACCAAAAUGAGCUUUAUUACAGUACUGGUAUCUCGGCUUAGGAGUGCCAACACUGCCAACGCUCGUCACUGAUGGAGUAGAAGGUCUUGGAUUAGUGCGUUGAGAACCUCGCUCUCUGCCCAAAUACCCAGUGGCUGAGGUAAAACGACUCUGAUACUUCUUCAAUUUCUUUGAAGCAGAAAAUUGGGAUUUUCCCAUCGAUCUUUUACUAAAAAUUUGAGCUUCCCUCUCAGCCUGUUUCUUUUCUUUGCUCAAUUCUUCUACUUUAUAAGCACUCUCUGCCAAUGUAGCAAACUCUCGAAUUUCAAGAAUUUCGAUCAGUAGCUUAAUGUCUUCAUUCAACCCUUUUUCAAAUCGUUUGCACAUUUCAGCUUCUGACUGUACCCAUUCUCGUGUAUAUUUACUCAAUCAAACAAAUUCUCUUUCAUACUCAGAUACAGAUCUGUUACCCAGUUUCAGCUCAAGAAAUUCUUUUCUCUUCUGAUCGAGAAACUUCUGGCUGAUAUGUUUCUUUCUAAACUCGGUCUGAAAGAAUUCCCAUGUAAUUUUUUCUUUCGGAACAACUGAAGCUUUAAUAUUCCACCAAUGGUAAGCUGUGUCUUUUAGUAGUGAGACGGUACAUUUCAGACAUUCUUCUGGUGUACAAGAUAAUUUCUCCAAAACCUGAGUAGUGUUUUCUAACCAGAAUUCAGCCCGUUCGGAAUCAUCAUCAAUUGCUGCUCGAAAUUCUUCGGCCCCAUAUUUUCAAAUUUUAUCUACUGAAGCCUUUCCUUUUCUGACAGAUUCAGUACCUAUACCCUGUGGGAUCUCAGGAAUCGGUAGAGGAGUAGGAGGGAGAGCUUGAACUUGCUGCACUACAGGGUUAAUUCUUAAGUAUUGAUUAAACCAUUUAUUCAUCAUUUGAAAAAAAUACUAUUUUUGCCUCCUCCCCUCGACCUUCUGUCUCGGGCCUUCUACUGUUAGUUUCUUCUCUUUGUACUGAAGCCGGAGCAUUACUCCCAGCUUCCUUAGAUUAAGCUCGGUCGGAUGAUAUUACUAUAAGAAAAACACAUUUUAAAUGGUCAGAAAAUAUCACACUAUCAAUAAUAAUUUAAAUGGCAUGUAUAGCUAAUCCCGUAUUUGCUACAUCGGUCCUAGCACUGGCUAAACCGUAGCUCUGAUACCAAUAAAUGUAAUACCCCUACCCGUAUUCAUUGCCGGAAUAGGGUACAAGGCAUUACCGGAGUUUACAAAUUAAUUUUUUUUUAGAAAAACUCAAUAUAAUCCCUUUACAGAUAUCUAACCUUCCCUGCAAUAUUAAAUCGAGACCAAUCCACAUCAACCAAACCAAUUCAACAUAUUUUCAAGAUAAAAUUCAUGCAUAUUUAUAAGAUAACGUCAUCACAUACCUAAAACCAGGUUUGUUAACCAUACUAAUGGCUAACUUUACAUUCAUUUCACGUUAACAUUUACUUUGUUAGGUUAUACAUGCCAUUGAUUUCCAAAAUAAGUUUCUUUAUAUACCGAAAUCCUGAGGUUGAUAGUGUGAUGUGUCUCUGACCAAAUCCGACUUUCGAGCUCUUAACACUACAAAAUAGGGGAAAAGGAAACAAGGUAAGCACUUUGUGCUUAGUAAGCUCAUGUAACAAGAAUUAUACUUAUCUAAUAUUUUCAAUACAAUACAAUAAACAUUCCUUUAUCCAUUCAAUGCAUUAUUACCCUAACAUGCACAAACUCAACAUUCAAGUUAGUACAAUAAUUUCCAUGUACCAAUAAUAUAUAUACCAUGAUUUAUGAGCUCAUCAAUACCAUGAUUUCCAUUUCCUUGUUAUUUUUCCAUAUUUAUCCCGUUGAAUUUCUUGGAAUUUUCGAUAGGUUUUCAGAGGUACACUUUUAGGUACAUUUCCGGGUCCGUCAAUUCAUAUUCAUGUGCGCACAUUUCCAUUUUAGAGAGCACACUCCCGCGAACCUCAUCCUUACAGCGGGAUUACCAGUCUAGACUAAAUCCCCUAUAAUAUAAACUCAUAGAGUAUUGUCGGGAUUACCAGUCCAGGCUAAAUCCCCUGCAACGACAAUUACUCUAAUGAGCUUGGAUCUGAAUUACCAGUCCAGGAUAAAUUCAGACCCUAAUUCGGAUUACUCGUUCGGGCUAAAUCCAUUUUCCACAUAUUCUUCGGGAGGGCUAUAUCAAGAUAGGAUCACCCGUCUAGGCUAGAUCCUUUUUACCGUCAAUUCCUUUUCAGAGAUCCAUCGAAUUUUCUUUUCAUGCAACAGGGAUUUCUUCCCCUUUUUUAUCAAAUAUAUCAAUGUUUCAUCAAUUUUCAUACAAUGAACAUUCAAAUCAUAUUCACAUCAAUAACAUACAUUUCAAGUAUUUAAGAAUAUAUUUCAAGUUACAUGAACUUACCUUGAUACUUGUUUGUAAACAAAAAAUCUACUAAUCCCGAACUUUUUCCUUUCCUCGAUCUAGCUUCAUAUUUGAAUCUUCUGGAUCUAAAUAAAUAAAUUUAAUUAUCAAUUUAAUACAUUUCAUGUUCAUAUCCAACAUUCUCUAUAAUUCAACUAUUAUUUAUAGUUCAUUCAAAGCUGUCUACUUGAGUCAUAGUCACUAAAUUAUUUUUAUCUUGAGCUACAGAACUCUAAAUUAGGAUCCAAUAAUUUUUUCUGAAACUAGACUCACAUAUAUUCUGACCAUAAAAUUUUCAAAAUUUUUGGUUUAGCCAAUAAGUACAGUUUAUUCUUUAAAGUCACCCAUGUUCUGCUAUCCAACAGUUCUGACCCUUUUUCACUUAAAAUUAAUUAUCUCUUGAUACAGAAUUUUAAUGACGUUUCCAUUUAUUUUUCUUGAAAAUAGACUCAUUCAGGAUUAUAGACAUAUAAAUUUAAGCCCCUAAUUAUUUUUAUUCAAAUUUUUUAUGAUUUUUCAAAGUCAGAACAGGAGAACCCGAAUUCAUUUUGACAUUGUCUCACAAAAUUUAUUAUAUCUGAAAAUUUACAAAUCCAUUGUUACACUGUUUAUUCUAUGAGAAACUAGACUCAAUAAUAUUUAAUUACAUAUUUUUUUCAUCUUCUAAUUCGAUUCCUACAAUUUAUGAUGAUUUUUCAAAGUUAGUCUACUGCUGCUGUCCAAUAUUGUUUUAGUGCAAGAAACUAGACUCAAUAAUCUUUAAUUACAUAUUUUGUUAAUCUUGUAAUUCGAUUCCUACAAUUUAUGGUGACUUUUCAAAGUUAGUCUACUGCUGCUGUCAAAUAUUGUUUUAGUGCAAGCUAUUUAUUACCAAUUUUCCCCUAAGCUUUUAAUAAAUAACAAUUUCGUCUCUACUCAAUUAGCCUCUUAAUUGAGAUGAUUUUUCUCAAUUAACACUUUAUUAUAUAAUCUUAAACUAGUUUACAACCUUUAGGAAUCAGAACUUCAGCAAUAUACUUUAAUUCCAAAUAUUUUCACAAUUAGGUCCUAAAAAUCAAUUUCUAUUGAAAUUACCUAAUAAAAUCAUCUCAUAAACAAAUUAAAGCUUUACUUUCAUUCUAUUUCAUCAUAAACUUACAGAACUAAAUCAUGGUGACUUUCAAUUUCAUCCAUGAAAUCAAAAACUAAUGAAUUUAAUAGUAGGACCUAGUUGCAAAAGUUUUGGAAACACAAAAAUUACAAGAAAAAGGCAAUGAUAACUCACUUGGUGCAAAAAUUAUGAAAUACCAGCUUAGAGAACCCUCCUAUGGCGUUUUUAGCGGCUGGAAUUGAAGAGAAAUGAAGAGAAAUCUCGAUAUUUCCUAUUUAGUCCUAGUUUUAUUUAGUUAAUUUUGUAAUAUUCCAAUUUUGCCCUUAAUUUAUCAAAUUUCCUGCUGAUUUCAUGCCCUUCCCGUCCAGCCCAAAUAAAUUUUGGGUCUAAUUGCCUUUUAAAUCUUCUCUAAUUAGACACUUGAGCUAUUUAAUCAUCCCAUCCACUUUUACACCUUUUACAAUUUAGUUCUUUUUAUUUAAUUAACUACCCAAACAUUAAAAUUUCCUAACGAAAUUUUAAUACCACAUUAAUAACAUUUCAUAAAUAUUUAUAAAAUUAUUUUCGACUUGGUUUUACGAGAUAGAGGUCUCGAUACCUUGUUUUUACCCAAUUUCUUCAAUAAUUUCUUUUUCUAACUAACCACUAAAUCAGUAAAAUUUUUCUAUCAAUAUUUUCAUACGAUUUUUCUAUCAUAUCAAUUUUCAUGAAAAAAUAUUGAAAUAAAUUUCUCUUUAAAUCAGAUUUGUGGUUACGAAACCACUGUUCCGAUAACUUUAUAUUUAGGUCAUUACAAAACCAAACUAGAGCAUUGUAAUACUCUUUUCAAACAACUCAUGAACCUACUUUGGCCUUUCAUUUUAAUAUAUUUUUAUUUCAUGAAAACACAUUUUUAUCCUUAUAGAAAGAGCUUGUACAGAUAAACUGAUUCGAACUAGAGUUCAAGCAUAAAAUUGAUAAAUGAGAUUGACUGAGUUCGAGCUCAAAUAUAUCUUGAGUCAAACUCAAACUUAAAAAAUAAUCUUCGAUAAAAUUAUAUCAAAUAAUAAGCUCCAAAUUUCAAAUUAAGCUCAAGCCCAAACCUACUGCUACAUGAGUUUAUCUAUGCUAAUUACACCUCUGGCCCAAGGAUUAAAUUGGAGCAACAAUAGAAAAAGACAAUUAAAUUAUGUCAUAAGUCUUUAUAUUUUUUAAAUUUUAGAAUUUAGUCUCUAGACUUUUCAGAUUUCAAAAUUCAUAUCCAAUUCUUAUCUUUGUUAAAUUUUUUUCUUAUUAAAAUUGUUAGUAUGACAUUUUGAAAUUUAAGAAAAAUGCUCACUUGAUAGUUAUGUAAUUAAAAAAAUGACGUUGGAAUUAACCUGAAUUUAACAUUGUUAAAAUUUAGACUUGAAAUUUGAAAUCUAUAAAGUAUAAGGGCAAAAUUUCUGAAAAUAAAAGUAUAGAGACUAAAUUACAAAAUUUCAAAAAGUACAGGGACUUAUUGCACAUUUUACCUGCAAAAGACCUAAAAAAAACGCUGCGUUUUAAGUUUUUGCACGGUGGAUCCCGCUAAACUAGAGGUGCAGAUCGUCUAUAAAUAGAGUUCGGCGUGCCUGAAACAUUUUCUCGGAUUUCUCAGUAUAGGAACAAUCUAUUUUUUUCUCAGGCAAGGAAAAAUUACUUGAAUUAAAUAAAUAAAUAUUCAAGCCUAUCGAUCUCUAAGGGCUGAUAAUCCGAUAAGGAAACCGGUUUUUCCAAUACACAGAUUUAAGCAAAAACAUGGGACAUGGUAACAAAGGAAACUGGAAAUCCAUGAUUUUUGCAGUUUUGAUUUAUUUUUUUAGAAGGUUUUGUAUAACAUUUUAAUGAUUCUCAGGUGAAAGAGGUCGGCCCAACAAAAAGUUCAAAUUUGCCAAGGUUAGGCGAAUUUCUAUAUAUUUUUUGUUUGAAUUUUAUGGGUUUUGUUAAUUUUUCCUUACAAAAGCAUGAUUCAUUUUGGGUUUUUUUUUUUUUUGCAGGAUGAUCACAGGGGCUCAGCUAUGGAAGAUGAUUAUUCUUUUUAUCCUGAUGAAGCCGAUGAUGAACCUCGUGAUGGUACUCAUUUGUUUGUUCUUUUUUUGCUUUUAAUCUAUUUAGAUUGAAUUUGAGUUGUAUUUGGUUUUUAUUAUUAUUUUAAUUUAUGAUUAAUUUUGAAGGUGAGAAUGAAGGAAAGAAAAGAGAUUUUACCAAAUUAGAACUAAAACUCGAUCAUGGUAAUCGCCCAUUAUGGGCUUGUGCUGAUGGGCGUAUAUUUUUGGAGACAUUCUCCCCUUUAUACAAGCAAGCUUAUGAUUUUCUCAUUGCUAUAGCUGAACCCGUUUGCAGGUACUGACCCCAUUAAUAUAAUGUGAUUUAAAUUUCUUUUUCUUUUUUUUUGUUUUGCUUAUUGGAUGUACAUUAAUGUGUAUGAAUGUGAAUUUUCAAUUUAUGUAGGCCGGAGUCAAUGCACGAGUAUAAUCUCACACCACAUUCCUUGUAUGCUGCGGUAUCUGUGGGGUUGGAGACAGAAACAAUUAUAUCGGUCUUGAAUAAAUUGUCCAAGACUAAGCUUCCUAAAGAAAUGAUUGAUUUCAUUCAUGCUUCUACCGCUAAUUAUGGCAAAGUUAAGCUUGUGCUUAAGAAGAAUCGUUAUUUUAUCGAAUCCCCAUUUCCGGAGGCAAGUUGGUUGUUUUUGGUACCUUUAUAAUUUAUUGGAAUUUAUUGAUUCUUUGGGUAUUAAUUGUUUGGUGAUGUUUGAUCCUUGCAGGUUCUGAAGAAACUGCUUCAAGAUGAGGUUAUAGGUCGAGCAAGGCUUGUUUCUGAGGUUUGUUACAUUAUUUGAAUUGAGCUUGUUGAUUUAUUUUGUUUAUUACAUUUGAGGCAUAAGCUUAAUCUUCUUUUACUGGUUAUUCUCUUUUCUUCCCAUUGAAAUCAUGCUUUUGGUCUAAAUGAUAUCUUCUCAUGCAAAUCAGUUUCUGUGACACUUUGUACUGCUGUAUGCUUUUUCACUCAAAGGUCUCAAUCUGAUUCUGCUUAGUGUUCUCUUAGAUGCCAGCGUUGCAUAAUAGUCUAGGAGAAACAGUUUGAAAGAAUAGUUUAAGCUCAAUUGGAUUCGUUGGGUCACUUUCUGUAGGUUCAUGAGUUUCCAUGUGGGAUUCUUUAUUGUUAACUUGCUUGGUUCUUUGGUUGUCAUGUUUCUUCUGGAUGCUUGUCAACUAAUUUCUUGACUUCCCUUUUGUUUUCCUUCAUUUCUAAGGAGAUGUUCCCUUCUUUUUUUUUUUUUUUAUUCCCUUCUGGAAUGUGUUUUAAUCAAUCCACUAUGGAUACUAUAUAGAAUGCGCAGGGAAAUGAUGGAUUUACAAUCAGCAAAACUGCGGGUGAAAUUGAGUCAGGCCAUAGUGGUUUGCUUAUGGAAUCAGAACUGGCAGCUGCUGCUGAAGAGAAAGAAACACAUGCAUUUGAAAUUGACCCUGCUCAGGUAUUUAUUUUUCAUUUUUCUUUGACUUCUCAUUUCAACUUCAUGCUGCAUAAUUUCCUUGAGGAUUAGUGUAUUUGAUUUCAACUAAUUAGUUUAGAACUAAAAGACUUAUGUAGAGUAUGCUUACAGAGGCUGCCUUAUUUUUCGUUGCUUUUAUGACCAACUUGUAUCUAGGUAUCUGAGUUCUGUUUAGCCAUAUUUUAGCUUCUGCAUUCCUAUCUUGUGAUAUCUUAAGGAAAUGAGUAAGUGAUGUUUGAAAUGAAUAUCUUUAGAUACAUCAUUCUAUUAGAAGAUGCUUUGCUUAUAGUUUGACUAAAAUGCUGUCAGUUUUGAACUGGAAUUGGAUUAUGCUACAUAUAAGUUUUUGCCUUGUACAUGUACAUUGCCAGGUUGAAAAUGUAAAGCAAAGAUGCUUGCCAAAUGCUUUAAAUUAUCCAAUGUUGGAGGAGUAUGACUUCAGAAACGACAGUGUGAGUAACAUUUAUCAUUUUCUUGACACUAGUAAUAAAGUGGCUUUCAACAAAUCGUGAUAACUGAGUUCAUAAUAUCCAGAUCCGGGUAUUAUCCUGGAGUUCUUAUUGUUUCUUUGAAUUGUAGGUCAAUCCUGACCUUGACAUGGAACUGAAGCCUCAUGCACAGCCACGACCAUAUCAGGAAAAGAGUCUUAGUAAAAUGUUUGGAAAUGGUGAGAUCAUCAAUACUAUAAUUUGUUCAACUAAUUGUUAUUGUGCUUAAUAUUCUCACAUUCCAUUUUUAUUGUAUUGAUGACACCUUAACUUCUUCAAUGGAAGAAUUAUACGCCUUUUCUAACUUACAAUGUACUGAAUUGUUGAUCUGUCACUUAUAAGUUACAAUAACAAUGAAAAUAUGGAUUUUGCGUUGUUAGAAGACCACUUUUAUCAUUCUAUUUCUGAAAUUUGUGGACAUGCUUCAACUUGUUUUUAUUGUUAGGUUUCUAAAAUACAUAAAACAAAUAAACUCUUGUUUGCACGAGUGCUGGAUUUGAGACAACUUCACCUGAGUUUCAUUCAUGCAGGUAGAGCCAGAUCUGGCAUUAUUGUGCUACCUUGUGGUGCCGGAAAGUCUCUAGUUGGUGUUUCUGCAGCAAGCCGAAUAAAGAAAAGUUGCCUUUGUUUGGCUACAAAUGCGGUUUCAGUGGAUCAGUGGGCUUUUCAAUUUAAACUCUGGUCAACCAUACGGGAUGAAAAUAUUUGCCGUUUUACAUCUGACAGCAAAGAGAGGUUCCGUGGCAAUGCUGGUGUGGUUGUAACAACAUAUAAUAUGGUUGCUUUCGGUGGUAAGCGGUCUGAAGAAUCUGAAAAGAUUAUUGAAGAAAUAAGGAACAGAGAAUGGGGACUGCUUCUUAUGGAUGAGGUAAUUACUAAUUGUCAUCGUUCUUGUCAUUUAUAUACCUUUAAGGAAGUUUUUCAACUUUAUAUGCACUGAUUGCAUUUUUUCUUGGUAGGUGCACGUUGUCCCUGCUCACAUGUUUAGGAAAGUCAUUAGUAUCACCAAAUCCCAUUGCAAACUGGGGCUUACUGGUACUCUAUUGUUUUUUGCUUUGAUGCAUCUCUAGCUCUCAGCUACCUCUUACAUCUAAAUCCUUUUUUGUAGCCACACUUGUGAGAGAGGAUGAAAGAAUUACAGAUUUGAACUUCCUUAUUGGUCCCAAAUUGUAUGAAGCAAAUUGGCUGGAUCUAGUAAAAGGAGGGUUCAUAGCAAAUGUUCAGUGCGCCGAAGUCUGGUGCCCGAUGACAAAGGAGUUUUUUGCUGAAUAUUUGAAGAAAGAAAAUUCCAAGAAGAAACAGGUUCAGUUAUCUAAACAGUUCACCUUAAUUUGUUGGUUCUUAACAAGUUUUGGUGUUAAUUUUGACUGCACAUAUUUGGAAUUCGGUAAUGCUGAUUUUGUUUUUUCUUGUUUAAUAAGACUAGUAGCCAACAGUUAACCUUUCUGUUCUUAUACUUACACAUCUAAUGGUUGCCUCUUGCAUUUCAGGCACUUUAUGUGAUGAAUCCUAAUAAGUUCAGGGCAUGUGAGUUUCUCAUACGGUUCCAUGAACGAGAGCGUGGUGAUAAGAUAAUUGUCUUUGCUGACAAUCUUUUUGCACUGGUUGAGUAUGCAAUGAAGCUACGCAAGCCUAUGAUCUAUGGUGCUACCAGGUUAUUUGUGAACAUCAAUUGCUCUGUUCUUUUUGUAUUGUUUUUAUAUUGUUGUGUCAAUCUUCCCUUGUAAUGUGCAGCCAUCUUGAGAGGACUAAAAUUCUCCAGGCAUUCAAGACUAGUCGUGAUGUGAACACUAUUUUCCUCUCAAAGGUAUUCAUCAGCAGAUUAUGUUUUACUCAGUAUUGUCAGUGAUUGUAGAGAAAUGCUGCAAAAUUUUGAUUAUGAGCUACUAUCGCACCCCCAUCAAAAAGCCAAGUUUUACUUUUAUUCUCCCCUCUUUUGGUCCCUAUAAUGUGUUGGGUUUUGGGAGGAGGGGGUGGCGGCGGUGUCUAGAAAUGAUUCAAAUUAACUGCAAUAUAUUCUUAAAUGCAUUUGGCCUUAAUUAUCUAUUAUAGUUAACAUCAUCUAAUCUGUUUUAAGAUGAUGAGACUGCUAGUUUUGUUCCCAAGUGGAUUCUUUUCAUGAAAAUGGUUUGGUGUUUCUGUUUCUCUCUACAGGUUGGUGAUAAUUCGAUAGAUAUUCCUGAGGCAAAUGUGAUCAUUCAGAUUUCAUCACAUGCUGGUUCAAGACGUCAAGAAGCCCAGCGUUUGGGACGUAUUCUUAGGGCAAAGGUUUGUGUUACAGUUUUAUUUUGCAUCUGACAAUUUUCAUCAUUGCUUUACUAAUCGGCUGCAUAUGUUGGUGAACGAAUCCGUUGAUAAAUGCAACAAACAUAAAAAUUGAAAUUCUUAUACGGCUGCAAUAGGGUAAACUUGAAGAUAGGAUGGCAGGUGGUAAAGAAGAGUACAAUGCAUUUUUCUAUUCCCUUGUUUCAACAGAUACACAGGUAGAUAUCUAUCAUCUUUCAAUGCCAUAGCUAUUGUUAAGCAUUUGUUAUGUUAAAGAUGGUUUUUUAACGAAAAUAAUGUAUAACCUGUUACCCUUUGCAGGAAAUGUACUACUCAACUAAAAGGCAGCAGUUUCUAAUUGAUCAAGGUUAUAGCUUUAAGGUACAUCAUUUACCAUGUAACCUGGAUGUGGUUAAUACUUUGUCUAUUCUAUUGUACUACAAAAACUGUGCAUAUGGUACUCGUGAAAAUAGAAGUGUGUGUGAUUUGGCAAAAUUUUGAAAGCAAAUACUUCUGACAGGUGAUAACAAGCUUGCCUCCUCCUGAUGCUGGUGCGGACUUGAGUUACUACCAUCUCGAUGAGCAGUUGGCUCUUUUAGGAAAUGUGCUUAUUUAUCCUUUUAUAACUUUUAAAAAUUCAAGAGAUAGUUGAACUAAAUAGUCACUGACAAGUUCUACAAAUCAGGUCUUGACUGCCGGUGACGAUGCGGUUGGUUUGGAGCAGUUAGAAGAAGAUGCAGAUGAUAUAGCCCUUCACAAAGCUCGUCGCUCUAUGGGAUCCAUGAGUGCAAUGUCGGGUGCAAAUGGAAUGGUCUACAUGGAAUACAGGUAUAAAAAAUGUCUCCAUUUCCUUCUCAUGUUUUCUUUGUCUGUCUAGCUGUCCUUUAGGAGGACAAGAGCAAGCCCUAUUUCUGUUAGUCUAUCAUAAACCUUCUACCAGUUAAAGUUGAUUUAUUUACGUAUUAAUCGGCAUAUAUGAAUCUUUUCCGUUUGCAGCACUGGAAAGCAUAAACUUAUGGGGCAUGGCCAGAAUAAGAGUAAACCUAAGGAUCCAUCCAAGCGGCAUCAUUUGUUUAAGAAACGCUUUGGUUGAGAUGAAAGCCGAACCAUGCAGAAUGAUGGUUGUUUUAUGACAAUCUACGAGGUUACUUCUCGCAUUGUUUUGUUUAAGAGAUGCUAUGGUCGAGAUGAAAAGCAUAAACCCGAAUUACGUUUGGUUUAUAUAUAUCAUCUAAGAGGUUCCGAGAAGGAGGAGAGUUUUAUUUCUUCAGAACUUGAAUUACUUUAAUGCCAAAUAAACAAAUUGCUUGUAGAAUUUGUACUCUGUAAGGUAUCGGUUUAUGUCUUGAGGUAACCACUCUGUAUGAACAUGGCUGGCAAUGGCAUAUGAGCAUGUUAUUUCCUAAAAUUUCUACAUUUUUGUAUGAUAUUGCACUUUGGAAAUAUAGUAUCUUGAAGCGAGGAUUGUACUGUCUGAAAUGACAACAUCGAACUAAGAAGUCCAAGACUGAACAAAAGUCAUGGGUUAAAAUUAGAAAAUAUUGCUUUUAACAGAUAUAUUGCAUAACUUGAACCAGAGUUUUUAACAUUAAAAUUAUAUUAUUCUUUUAAAUUAUUAUCUAAAUUUGUUACUUUUAACAUUAAAAUGGCUAACCUGACCUUAUUAAUCAAUGAUCAUGGUGCCGCGUUAGCAAAGUUUUUGUUGAUGAAUUUGAUUGGUAAUAGUUGUCGAUAUGGAAAGUUGACAUGUGGCAUACCAUAUUAAAAUUAAUUUAGACAGUUACUUUGGACAAUUGAUGUUACAGUUAAUUUAGAUUUGGCCAUACAAUUGUUCAGUCUGGACGAGUGUAAAGUUGUAGAAAAAUAAUAAAUAAUUAUAAAUAAAUUUAUAUAUAUAUAUAUAUAAAAGAACAAAUGAUGAAUGUGGCUUCAAUAGCUACAAAGUAAAACUAACAUAUGUCAAUUGAGUUUUUGUUCAAUUGACAUAUGUAUUUGUGACAAUGCAGGAAAAAGUAGGUUUGAGUGCAUUGAAACGCAUUGUCUCAAAAAGAUCAAAUAUGAUGGGUUAUGAGUUUUAAGUAUUAUCUCGAAAAAAAUAAAUAUGAUCAGAAUCUACGAUGAGAUUGUUCUAUUAGCUAACUUAAUUCACAAAUUACUCAUUUUCAUUUCUUUCAAUAAUAUAUAAUUAUAUAUAUAACUUUUGUUAAAUUAUAGUUUUGAUGUUUUUAUUAUCAUAAAAUUUGAAAUUUAAUUUUAUAUUUUAAUUUGAGAUGAUUUAAUUCUUUUAAUUUUAAAGAAUUUUUACAUUAACUAUUCUUCUUAAAGUAUUAAUAUAUUUUUUUAUUCUUAAAAAUAUUAUUAAACAUUUAGUUGACAUAUCAAUUUUUUAUUGGAUUAAAUUGUUUGACUGAUUUGUUAUUUAAAUUGCCCUUUUAGCAAAAUUUCAUCUCAACACUUCUUCAAAAGAAGUUUAGGUGUUAACAAAAUUAUUAAAAAUUUAUGUUAAAUUAAAGUACAAUAAAUAAAAUCAAAAUUUUAAUAAAGUAAAAGGAUCAAAAUUAAAAUAUAAACUUUAAUUUUUAAAGAAAAUUACACAAAAUUAUAACUAAGUUAAUAUUUUUUUGGUGAAAAUAAAACAAAUUACAUAAGAUAAUAAUUUUUAAAAGCACCGCUUAUUUUGUCUUGUUUUGUUCCUAAAGGACCCAAUAAAUUCUUAAUUGGAAUUAGAGGAUCUUUUUUAAUUGAUUGUUUUAUCACAUUGUGAUAUUUUACAUCGUUGAAUGGGCCCAUGCGAAAACAAUUAGAUGCUGACAAAAUUAUCAAAGAUUGGGAUUCCUUAUUUCUGUUCAAGAGCGUAUGAAUAGUUCCGUGAUUUUGGCUAAACGAUUGUUGAAUCCUUGCGUUGGAAUAAAUGGAAUAAAACGGAUUUUUAUUGGUACGAUCUGACCUAUUAUCAGAAAUCAAUUCUGAACCUGACGGAUCAUUUCUUUUUCUGAUAUAAAAAAUAUGAGAUUUCACUAAGUCGAUUCUUAGGAAAUCUCGAAUCAGACCAUUUGUCCUUACUUCAACAAAGGAAGCACAGACCUCUUCGGCCAAAGAACUUUUGUUGUCUUGGUCCCAACUCAACACUAAACAAGUCCGAACUAGUUGAAUACUUGUGUCAGAAAUUCUCCGAGUCGGUUUGCCAUUUCCAUAAAGGAUAUAAUUGACAGCUCAAAGUUGCAUAUUAUCUUUUUCCUGAAAUGGAUCCUGGGGGAAGAGUGUUGCUAAAUUUAGACCGUCCGGUAUUUCAUAUGGGGUUACAGGUCGAACCAAAACAAAAUACUUUUUCUUGGUAGGUGUGAUCCGUUGGACAUAGAUCUAAUUUUUCAAUUUUUUUGAUUCCUUAGAGUUUGUUUUGCUCGUUCCUGGUGGUAUCAAGAUGCCACUGUGUCGAGAUAUCUUAUCUCUUUCUCCGGGAAAAUAGAUAUUACCCGAAAAAAUUUUCAGUUCAGUCUUUUUUUUUUCUUUCCACUCGGACCAAUCCGCCCACUUGGCUUCUUGUAUUUAAAGUGAUUGGGGUAUCUACUCCAAUGAUACUAUUGUUCCGUACCAUUAUGGAAGAAGAUUCGGAUAAAAUAUGCACUUCCUCGGGAAUGAAAAAAAAUCGAUCUACUUUCAUUUGGUAUUUUGGCUUAACCUUUUUGACUCCUCGAUACUCAAUCACAUCCUCCCUUUUGAUGAUUUAAUGCGCCCCUAGAGUCCCAUAUUUAGUAAUUCCUGAACUCUUUCUUCUGUAUCGAGGAUCGUCAAAAAAAGCAAGAAUACUUUUUCUACGGAAAAUACCAUUUAUGGGUAUUUCCAUCGAGAUACCGGAAUGGGAAUGUAGCAUUACUUCUUUCUCUUGGUCUUGAAUCAAUUGAAAUGGAAUAAUAAAUCUAUUUCUUCGUCUCUUUGCCAAUAAAUCAACAUUCUCGUGGAGAAUAGCAGAAUAUAUGGAAUCACAAUGCCCAGUACCUAUUAUUCGAUUCGAUUAUGAAUAAUCGUAAAUCCUAUCUUCUUUUUUAUCCGAAAAAUCUGAACUAAAUAAGUUGUGUCUCACUUGAUCAUUAUUCACUGAGAAUCUAGAAAUAUAUCUUCGUUCGGCAAAAAGAUAAUGAAUGUUUAUUUGAUCUUGAUCCUUGUGGAGCGAAAAAGGAACUACACUGAAUUUGUACGAACCCCCUGAUAAUAUCCACAAAUGGCUUGUUUUUGGUAAGAGAUGGACAUUACUAUAUGUAAAUUCGGGCGAAUGGUACACAUCGGUACUCCAGUGCAUUUCCCCCUCUGAGUCAGAAUAAAUAUGUUUUCGAACCCUCUCUUUCAAAUUUAAAGUGUAUGUUCCCGCGCGAAUCUCAGCAAUCACUUGUUCUGAUUCUACAUAUUGAUCGUUUUGAACUAAAAGAAAACUUUUUGGUGGAAUAGUCACCUUAUGUAUAAUAUCUUCACUCUCAAUAAUUACAUACAAGUCCCGAUAACAUAAAAAAGCAGGAUGCCCGUGACGUGUGCGUGUAGGAUGAACCAAAUCCUCAUUGAAUUUUAUUUUUCCAUUAAAAGGGGCCCGGACAUGUUCUGCAGUACCCCCUGUAAAUACUCCGCCGGUAUGAAAAGUUCUUAAUGUUAGUUGCAUUCCUGGUUCUCCAAUGGAUUGCCCCGCAAUAAUACCUACAGCUUCUCCCAAUUCAACCAGGUCACCAUGAGUGGGGCUCCGACCAUAACAUAAUCGACAAAUCCAAGAUGUACUCUUACAAGUAAAGGGAGUUCGAAUAGAUAUUGGUUGUGUUCGAAAGGCUCUGAAUCGAUCGACAAGCCCAAGCCCAAUAUCUUGAUUUCGAAUGGCAAUGCACCGCGGACCCAUAUAUAUAUCGUCCGCUAAUACACGACCAAUUAAUGUUUGGAUAAAAAUUCUUUCCGGAAGCGUCCUCUUUUGAGGACUCACAGAAAUCCCUCGGGUGGUGCCACAAUCUGUUCUACGUACAACAAUGUGUUGAACUACUUCAACAAGUCUGCGCGUAAGAUAUCCAGCAUCUGAUGUUCGUACGGCGGUAUCCACAACCCCUUUUCGGGCUCCGUAGCAAGAAAUGAUAUAUUCUGUUAAAGAUAGUCCUUCGCGUAAAUUGCUUUGAAUGGGAAAAUCGAUCAUUUGUCCUUGGGGAUCCGACAUUAAUCCUCUUAUACCUACUAAUUGGUGCACUUGAGAUGCAUUUCCUCUAGCUCCUGAAAAAGACAUUAUAUGGACUGGGUUAAACGGGUCAGUCAUCCUAAAAUUAGGAUUCAUUUCUUAUCGCAAAUAUUCACUUGUAGUAUACCAUAUCUCAAUUGAUUGGCGUAAUUUUUCUACCGCGUGUACAUUCCCAAAAUGAUGGUGUUUUUCCAAAAUCAAACUUUGUUGUUCAGCAUCUUGGACUAGCCAUCCCUUAGAAGGUAUCGUUAAAAGAUCAUCAAUUCCUAAUGAAAUGGAUGUAGCAGUGGCUUGCUGGAAACCCAGAGCUUUUACUUGAUCCAGGAUGUGUGAUGUAUAUGCCAUUCCGAAGUGAUCUAUUAAUCUGCUAAUAAGCCGUUUAAUGGCAGUUCCAUCUAUCACUUUAUUUUGAAAUACCAGAUUGGCCCGUUUUGCCAUAAAUACCCCCUUAUUCCGCUGAGUGGACUUCGCCAAUGGGUUUGAGUCAAUGAUUGGAAAACUUCCUUUUCUCGAUCUUGAUUUUGGUAGAAAGUUGGGUCAGGAACUGGGGUCCUAGUUGAACCGGAGAGACCCGAAUUCAUAUUGGUGUCAUAGAAUUUUUUAGCUUAGAUACCAUAUGAUUGGGUAUCAUAUGAGUAGGCCCGAAAAAACCCUUGUAUAGCUUCUUCGAUUUCUCGGUAAAGAGAAAUAUGACCAACAGUGGUUCGAAUGUAUAUACAAAGAAUUUUUUUUUAAACUUCUUACUAUUAGAUAAUGUCCAUAAAUCUCAUGAUAGGUACCCGAAGAUUCAUAGUGAACUUCGAUGGGAUCUUCUCUUGAAGCAAUAACACAUUGCUCUAGUCGCCACCGGAGCCACAAAGGACUAUCUAAAUUGAUUCUUUUCUGCCUAUAAGCUCCAAUCGCAUCAUAGGAAUUACAAAAAAAAGGCUCCCUUGUAGACUUAUAGUUAUUAUCGUCAAUUCUUUCAUUUUGAUAGCUUUUUCGAUUCCAUGGAUUAUACCUAUUCGCACAAAUACCUCGACGAUUCCCACUCGUUAAUACAUAGAGCCCAAUAAGCAUAUCUUGAGUAGGUACGGAAAUGGGAUCCCCAAUAGCUGGAGACAAGAGAUUCAUAUGAGAAAACAUAAGUAAACGAGCCUCCGCUUGCGCAUCUAAAGAUAAAGGUACAUAAACUGCCAUUUGAUCCCCAUCAAAGUCUGCAUUGAAUCCCUUACAAACUAAUGGAUGUAAACAAAUAGCGCGUCCUUCCACUAAAAUAGGUUGGAAUGCCUGUAUACCUAAUCUAUACAGAGUAGGCGCUCUAUUCAGCAAUACAGGAUGUCCCCGCAUGACUUCUUGCAGUAUUUCCCAUACAAUCGGCCCUUUUUCCCGAAUUUUACUCUUAGCAACUCCUAUGUUCGGAGCAAGAUGUUGUCUAAUUAGACCGCGAAUUACAAAUGUCUGGAAAAGCUCUAUUGCUAUUUCGCGAGGCAAUCCACAGCGAUGUAAAUAAUAACUAAAUAAUAACUAAAUAGAAAUAAAAACAAAUAAUAACUAAAUAGAAAUAAAAAUAUAUAUAAUAAUAAUAUAUAAAAAUAAUAAUAAUAUAUAAAUAGAUAAUAUAAUAAUAGAUAGAAUAAUAAAAUAAAUAAUAUAGAAAUAUAGAUUUAUAAAUCGAAAUAUAUUAAUAUAAUAAUAUAAAUAUUAUUAAUUACUUAAUAUUCUUAAUAUUAAUAACAAAUAAUAUAAAUUAAUAUUAAUUGCUAAUAACUUGUAAUUUGAUUAAUUGAUAAGCAUUUGAAUUGUUAUAUAAUUUCGAUUGUUAAUUGGUUUAGUAGUGGAAUUUGAUAAAAUCGCCCUGAACUGAAGAAAGUAUCUAUCCUAGCUCUGACCAAAUAUUCUUUCGUAUCAAGAAUCAAGAACGAAAAUGCGGAUAUAGUCGAAUGGUAAAAUUUCUCUUUGCCAAGGAGAAGACGCGGGUUCGAUUCCCGCUAUCCGCCCAGGGCAAUGUAUUUAAGAUAAAAGGAUAAAAGAUUCGUUAUAGUUGACUAUAAAUAGUUGACUGGAAUUGGAAUAUAAUACACCCCCUAAAAGAAAAAAUGACUAGUUA